rnacentral:misc_RNA from 1 species
CGUAGGUGAACCUGCGGAAGGAUCAUUAGUGAAUUGAAUAUGUUAGCGGACCUCUUCGGAGUCCCUAGCAUCAAAUCAUAUCCAUAACACCUGUGAACUGUAAGGCUGUCUUGAAAACGAAAGUGAUUAGAGCGCCUGCCCAUUUUAUACAAACAUUAAAGUAACAAACGUAGUCUUAUUAUAAUCUAAUAAAACUUUCAACAACGGAUCUCUUGGCUCUC